rnacentral:lncRNA from 1 species
CUGAUAUGACUGGUGUUCUUGUAAGGAGAGGAGAAGAGACACAGAUACAGCACAGAGGGAAGACUAAGUGAAGACACACAGAGAAAGUUAUGUGUCUACAAGCCAAGGAACACCAAAAUUGCCGGCAAUCACCAGAAGCUAGGAAGAGGCAAGGAAGGAUCUUCUCUCAGAACCUUCAAAACAGCAUGGCCCUGCCGACACUUUGAUUUCAGACGUACAGCCUUCAAAACUAGAAAAAUAGCACAGAACUUGGCAGACUCUUGAUCCUCAGUUAGUGGCAAGAACAGAAGACAGGAGACAUGCAGAAGGCAGCUCUUUGAAUAAUCCAGGUACAGAGAUGGAGACACCUUUACAGAUGGAGAUUUCCUUUACAAAUGUAAAUGUCUCUCAACAAAGGAUGAAGAGCUUUUCUCUACCCAACACCUAACACCCAAGUAAGACCUGCAGCUACGUGCACAACUUACAGCCAAACGUUUGACAGAACAAUCCGGCUCCUUAGUCUAGGAAACAGAAAAAUCUUCAACCACCACCAUAACAAGAAAAAGAAUGUCAAAUAUGCCUUUCAAGACUCAGGGACCCUUCGCUGAUCUCAGUUUCACCUGGAGGAACGUACACUGUGACUAAGA